ACCCACGCAGUGGUGCAGCUGGUGCUUCACUUCCGAUGGUCUUGGGUGGGCGUCCUGGCGCAGGGGGAUGACUUUGAGCUGCAGAGCAGCUCUCUGGUCGUCCAGGAGCUGGGCCAGGCUGGGGUCUGUAUCGAGUUCCAACUCCACAUCCCCAAGAGAUGUCUUCUGUGCCCAGAGAAGCAGCACUCGAGCUGCACCAGAGAUGGCUGCCUGCCCAGGAUAGAGACCUUCCUGGCCUUUGACGACCCCCUGGGACUCACGCUGGCCAGCCUGGCAGUGCUAGUCCUCAGACUGUUCCUGAAGCACCGAGACACACCUGUGGUCAGGGCCAACAACAGAGCUCUCAGCUACAUGCUGCUCAUCUCCCUGUGCCCUCUGUCCCUUGCCCUUCCUUGGUUGUCCCACAGCUGCCACCUGCCUCCUCUACCAGACCACAAUUGCUGUUGUGUCCACCAUAGCAAGACCCUCACUGUGGUCUUGGCCUUCAGGGUCACCAAGCCAGGGGACAGGGUCUGGGUGUGCCUGGGACCUGGCGCUUCCACCUCAGUGGUCCUUGCUGCUUCCUUGUUGCAGGUUGUUCUCUGUGGCAUCUGGCUGGGCACUUCCCCACCACUCCCAGACGGGGACAUGGCCUCAGAGCCCAGCCACAUUGUCAUCCAGUGCUGAGAGGGCUCUGCUGUCGCUUUGUCCUGUGUGCUGGGCUACCUGGGCCUCCUGGCUGGGGCCACCUUCUUUGUGGCCUUCCUGGCCAGGGGUCUGCCAGAUGCCUUCAACGAGUCCAAGUUCCUCACCUUCAGCAUGCUGCUUUUCUGCAGCUUCUGGACAACCUUCCUGCCCCUGUACCACGGCACACAGGGCAAGUCCACUGUGGCCGUGGAGAUCUUUUCCAUCCUGGCUUCCAUGGCAGGGCUGCUGGGUAGCAUCUUCGUCCCAAGUGCUACAUCAUCCUGCUAAAGCCCGAGCGGAAU
rnacentral:sRNA from 1 species